rnacentral:rRNA from 1 species
UACGGAGGGUGCAAGCGUUAUCCGGAUUUAUUGGGCUUAAAGGGCGCGUAGGCGGUUAUGUAAGUCAGUGGUGAAAUCUCUAGGCUUAACCUGGAAAUUGCCGUUGAUACUAUAUAUCUUGAAUGCUGUGGAGGUAAGCGGAAUAUGUCAUGUAGCGGUGAAAUGCUUAGAUAUGACAUAGAACACCUAUUGCGAAGGCAGCAGGCUAAGCAAAGAUUGACGCUGAGGCUCGAAAGCGUGGGGAUCAAACAGG